GGGGCCUCAGAAGCAGCUGGCACUCUGGGACAGGCGGGGACAAAGCCGCAGACAGUCACGGGCCUCAGCAGAAGCUGUGCCCUGGGGGCGCGUCCUGUGCGCAGAGCCUGGGGCUCCGAGCCGGCCGCGGCAUGUCUGGUCCGGGCAGCUUCCCGAGUGGCUCCUGGUCACCUCCUCACAGAUCCCUCCUCACGGGACACCUUUCACAGAUGCUUUUCAGUCUGACUCUCCCAGACUUCGUCCGUGGGAGCGCUCAGUUUUCAGUAAUCCGUGGAGAGGGCCGUGAGCGACCCACAGGUGGCACAGAAGCGGGACUGAGGCGUGGCGGCUGUCCCUGGAUGGGCAGGGGGCACCAUCUGCCAGCCGCGUCCGCCUGGGGCUCCACGGCAGGCGCAGUCCGCCCCACGCCUCCAGGAGGGACUGCGUCUCUCGAGAAGGUCCCACACAGGUGGUUUGAACAACCCUCCCGCUCGUGAUCUGGGUGCUAUGCCAGCAGAAGACGCUCUUCUGCCUAGGAAAGAAGCGUAAUCGGAAACACACGUUGCUUGAAGCUUUGGUGUCCUGGGCGUCCCAAGAGAGGCAACCGAGAGGACCCCGAACGCCGGAUCCCAACAGGGCAGCUGGCACUUGGCACCAUUGUUACUGCUCCUGGAAAAGAGCCUGGGCAGAGUGUGCGGAAGAUGAACAUCUGAGGUGCACACGUGCUCUCAGAAGAGCAGGGCAGAAUCUCGCGGCCGCCCAGUGGUCCAGGAGUGAGAGCAGGGCCAGCCCUCGGGGGGCUCAGGACUCACUUCGUCCCCCGAAGCGCGGGAGUCCUGGGGCUCUGAGAUGGUGGCUCAUGAGUCCAAGGGAAGCCGUCGUGCUGAGUCUGCUUUGGACAGUUGCCCAGGUCAGAGGGGACUCUGUUCCACGACUGAGAGCCCACAGCAUUUAGCACCAACCUCCCGCCUGUCAAGAGGGAGGCAGCCGGGAUGCCGAGGUCCGGGCCCCCCUCGCCUCUGCCUCUCCUGAGCGACACUCGCAGGGCCUCCCAGAAAAAGCAAAGGGUCCCGUUUGAGGUGGAGGAGGAAGGCUGAGGAAUGGGAGCUGAACAUGUCCUGCGACCUGGACCUCUGCCAGAGCUCCUGGCUUGCUCGCCCCCAGCGUGUGGAGGUGACCCACGGCCGCAGCAGGAGGGCACCUUGUCCCGGGCCCAGGCCUCGGGGAGGCAGGGAAGGCCUCUCUUCUGACACUGGACGGCUGAAGGAGAGUUGCAGGGCCUGCGGGGGAAAAGCAGACACAGGAGGCAAAGUGAGAACAGCAGGAGACAUGAAGCUAAUCGUGAGCAGUCUUGGGCCCGGGGCCAGUUCGGAGGACCCUCAGCGCCUGCAUUGCCCGCUGAAGGGGACAGAGAGUCAGGCCGCAGUCUGGCUGUGGCCGCGCUCCAAGGAAAACUCUUGCGAUGCACAUUGGAAUUUGGCAAAACACGGCCAAAUAUAAAGUGGUGUUUGUCGUCCACCUUAAACUCAUGUAAAUCUGAUCAUCCUACCAGUGACUUCUAAUAACCACGUUGUUCCAAAGAGACAGCAAGGCUUCAGAAAUGAGGUGAGUCCCUGUAUGGAUGAGACAUUUGGUAAGUGACUUUUGGAUUUCCUUGCGUUUGUGAUUGCCCAGCCAGAGGCCACGCUCUUCUUAACUCGUGACAUUUUGGUCUGGUUCCGUUAAACCCGGAAUAAAACAAAACCCAGCCUUUUAUCGAGGCAGGAACUCUAGCAUAUCCUGAGAUAUUCUGGGACACACAGAAUCCAUGCCCAAAUAAGUCUGGGAUGCGCAACAUGCAAUAUUUCUUAGAGACUCAGAGCACAGACCAAUCUUCUGAGGUUGAAAAUUCCUGUAGUAAGUAAGUAUAAGCCACUUUGUAUGGUGCCUGUUUCUCAAACUUCUUCAACAACAGAACACCCCUAAUGUGACACAGUAAGACCAUUCCACAAAAAGGUGUGUUUCCAGAAAGCACCCUGGGUAAUACCUUUUAUUUUCAGAUGCACUGAGUGGGAAGAACUGGGCUCAUGUCCGUUAUUCAUAAGUUGGGUUCGUGUCUGAGCGUAGGGAUUCUUACAUGCAACGGUCUCUAUAAUUUUGUAAUUCUUCACUCAAAGUUUUCACAGCGGGGAAUCGAUCCCUGUCUUCUGCCAAGUGUUUUCAUGAGAGUUAUUUGUGGUAGUUCUUAGGAAUCUACUUUCAGCUUUCGUUUAGAGACGUUUAAACCAUAUGACUAUAAGCUUCCUUUACCUUUCUACAAGAAUCACCUAUUAACUAUGGUAUGAAAGGCUUAACCCAGCCAGGGUUGAAUUGGAACGGAGCUUUGAUGUGGGCAAGGCAGCCAGCUCCAUGGAGAUCAGUCCAUUCUGUUGUAAAUUGAGAAGCUCAAGAGUCCAGGAGGAGCAUGGCCUAAAAUCUGAGGCUCACAAGAGACGCAGAAAGACAUUCAUAGGUUGUGUUAUUUGAAGAUCAAGGACGAUUUGGAUUUGGUUCAGAAAUGUUCCACAUUUCCAAAGCAGUCUUACCAGACGGAAUCAAAAUGUUUCAUUAUGAUUUUAAAAAACAAAAGUUUUAGGUGGUGGCAUACCCAGGACGUCUAAAAUUCAUUCUGCAUACUAAAGAGCUUACAACUGUCAACCCUAAAUAGAAAUCUAAGAAAUCCACCAAUAGGAAUUCAGAAAUUUCAUCAUGUUGACUUUUUGGAAUAAAUAGACCCUGUCAAGUCUCUGUCUCUCUUCCUUUUUUUAGAAGUAGCUGUAGUGUUUUGUAAUGUGGAGCUAAUUCUGAGUAGUAUAUACUGCCUGGUCUACUAGACACUGUUUAGUAUAACCUCGUUUAGCAGAAGACUCGGGUUCGGUGCCCCACCCCAGUCUGAUGGGGGACCCUCGUCCCGCUCAGCCCCCACAGAGGUGCCCAGAGUCAGGAUGACCCCUCAGCCUUGUUGUCCACAUUUUAUCUACCAAAGAUAAACAAGAAACAGGAGACCUGGACUUUUCUCCCUGUUGCCGUUUACUAGCUAUGCACAUUUGUGCAGAAACUUCCUUCUGAGCCUCACUUGCUCAUCUCAAAUGUCGGGGCAGGACUCUGCUCCUGUUCCUCAAGGGUGGGGUAAACUCAAGGGAUCUCAUGAAACUACCAUCUGACUCAGUGAACGCCAAUAUGAUUGAAUACGUUUGAUGAAAUAAAUUAGACCAAAAAUGUAAAUAUUUGAUAACUGGCUCGUAGAGUGUUUUUCAUCCCUCAAAGAAGAACGCAUGUAUUCAAAGGUUUAGCUUUUCCAGCAGAGCAUUCCAGGCUGACUCUGAGAUCCGAGGAAGUGUGCUCUGCUUCCACUGAGCUCCUCCCUGUCUCGCUUAGUCAAUGAUGACAGAAAAGGAAGAAAAUGUGUAUCUUCAACUGCUGAAAAUUCUGGCUUCCUGUUCACUCUCAGAGGAACUUGGUAUUUGGAGAUCUUUUCAGUCUCUGAAUCAUUUGACUGUGGUCAAAACUGCGCUAUGAGCCCAGAAUAAUGCAAGCAACAACACUGGUUUUAAGACUAAUAAAAUAAUGACA